rnacentral:rRNA from 1 species
ACGGGUGAGUAACGCGUGGGAAUCUACCCAUCUCUACGGAAUAACGCAUGGAAACGUGUGCUAAUACCGUAUACGUCCUUCGGGAGAAAGAUUUAUCGGAGAUGGAUGAGCCCGCGUUGGAUUAGCUAGUUGGUGGGGUAAAGGCCUACCAAGGCGACGAUCCAUAGCUGGUCUGAGAGGAUGAUCAGCCACACUGGGACUGAGACACGGCCCAGACUCCUACGGGAGGCAGCAGUGGGGAAUAUUGGACAAUGGGCGCAAGCCUGAUCCAGCCAUGCCGCGUGAGUGAUGAAGGCCCUAGGGUUGUAAAGCUCUUUCACCGGUGAAGAUAAUGACGGUAACCGGAGAAGAAGCCCCGGCUAACUUCGUGCCAGCAGCCGCGGUAAUACGAAGGGGGCUAGCGUUGUUCGGAUUUACUGGGCGUAAAGCGCACGUAGGCGGACUAUUAAGUCAGGGGUGAAAUCCCGGGGCUCAACCCCGGAACUGCCUUUGAUACUGGUAGUCUUGAGUUCGAGAGAGGUGUGUGGAAUUCCGAGUGUAGAGGUGAAAUUCGUAGA